UUAGCUGUGACUGGAACUCUGAGAAAGUAAUGCGGGCAAUAACUGCGGCCUUCCACCCAGCUGUGGAGGGAUGCAGGUUGCAAAUCUUGCUGCCAUGCCACAAUAAACUAGUUGAGCCAUCUCUAACUGCCAAUCAGACUUUGAGUGGAGACCUUGUGAAAAAAAUUGUUUCACCAGAAAUCCAUUUACAUCAGGCCUGACAAGGUUAUUCUAAGUGAGGAAAAAGAAUCUUCAUCUUCUGAUGGCAAGCGAAGCCAUUUAGACAGGCAGGCUUUGGAUACAGACAAAAUGGCCCCUGGUAGUGUGCUUGCCUUUUCCAAAGAAACUGUCGAGGCCCAGUCCUUCACCAGCAAUACCCCUUCCAUCCUAAGUGGUGAUCAAGUUUUCUUUUGUGUUGCCACCGAAGACAUCAGGACCAAAGAACCUUCUAUCUCAGCUGACGCCCUUACCAUGACCACUAAUGAUGCUGUCGUCACUAUUGCUGAGCCCCUCCCCUUGUCCAGUGGAACUGAUGCCAUUGCCAGUGGAAACACAGGUUCUUUGUUGAUUGGUCCCACUGUCAGUGAUGUCACCUCUAGACAGUCCCAUAGUCUCACCCAAGCCUGUGCAUCUGGCCUUAGUUCAUCCA